rnacentral:rRNA from 1 species
ACCUACCUAAAUAUCGUAAAGGCACCAGAUCCCAUCUGAUCUUGGAAGCUAAGAAGGAUCAGACCUGGUUAGUGUUUGGAUGGGAGACUGCCAAUGAAUAUGAGGUGCUGUAGACU